UGCAGUCGAGCGGAACGAUGAUAGCUUGCUAUCAGGCGUCGAGCGGCGGACGGGUGAGUAAUACUUAGGAAUCUACCUAGUAGUGGGGGAUAGCACGGGGAAACUCGUAUUAAUACCGCAUACGACCUACGGGAGAAAGGGGGCAGUUUACUGCUCUCGCUAUUAGAUGAGCCUAAGUCGGAUUAGCUAGAUGGUGGGGUAAAGGCCUACCAUGGCGACGAUCUGUAGCUGGUCUGAGAGGAUGAUCAGCCACACCGGGACUGAGACACGGCCCGGACUCCUACGGGAGGCAGCAGUGGGGAAUAUUGGACAAUGGGGGAAACCCUGAUCCAGCCAUGCCGCGUGUGUGAAGAAGGCCUUUUGGUUGUAAAGCACUUUAAGCAGUGAAGAAGACUCCGUGGUUAAUACCCACGGACGAUGACAUUAGCUGCAGAAUAAGCACCGGCUAACUCUGUGCCAGCAGCCGCGGUAAUACAGAGGGUGCAAGCGUUAAUCGGAAUUACUGGGCGUAAAGGGAGCGUAGGUGGCUCGAUAAGUCAGAUGUGAAAUCCCCGGGCUCAACCUGGGAACUGCAUCUGAUACUGUUGAGCUAGAGUAUGUGAGAGGAAGGUAGAAUUCCAGGUGUAGCGGUGAAAUGCGUAGAGAUCUGGAGGAAUACCGAUGGCGAAGGCAGCCUUCUGGCAUAAUACUGACACUGAGGCUCGAAAGCGUGGGUAGCAAACAGGAUUAGAUACCCUGGUAGUCCACGCCGUAAACGAUGUCUACUAGUCGUUGGGUCCCUUGAGGACUUAGUGACGCAGCUAACGCAAUAAGUAGACCGCCUGGGGAGUACGGCCGCAAGGUUAAAACUCAAAUGAAUUGACGGGGGCCCGCACAAGCGGUGGAGCAUGUGGUUUAAUUCGAUGCAACGCGAAGAACCUUACCUGGUCUUGACAUAUCUAGAAUCCUGCAGAGAUGCGGGAGUGCCUUCGGGAAUUAGAAUACAGGUGCUGCAUGGCUGUCGUCAGCUCGUGUCGUGAGAUGUUGGGUUAAGUCCCGCAACGAGCGCAACCCUUGUCCUUAGUUACCAGCGGGUUAAGCCGGGAACUCUAAGGAUACUGCCAGUGACAAACUGGAGGAAGGCGGGGACGACGUCAAGUCAUCAUGGCCCUUACGACCAGGGCUACACACGUGCUACAAUGGUAGGUACAGAGGGCAGCUACACAGCGAUGUGAUGCGAAUCUCAAAAAGCCUAUCGUAGUCCAGAUUGGAGUCUGCAACUCGACUCCAUGAAGUAGGAAUCGCUAGUAAUCGCGGAUCAGAAUGCCGCGGUGAAUACGUUCCCGGGCCUUGUACACACCGCCCGUCACACCAUGGGAGUUGA
rnacentral:rRNA from 1 species